AGCAGCCCGCGGUAAUACGAAGGGGGCUAGCGUUGUUCGGAUUAACUGGGCGUAAAGGGCGCGUAGGCGGGUUUUUAAGUCAGAGGUGAAAUCCCAAGGCUCAACCUGGGAAUGGCAGUGGAUACUGGCUCGCUAGAGUGUGUCAGAGGAUGGUGGAAUUCCCGGUGUAGCGGUGAAAUGCGUAGAGAUCGGGAGGAACAUCAGUGGCGAAGGCGGCCAUCUGGGACAACACUGACGCUGAGGCACGAAAGCGUGGGGAGCAAACAGGAUUAGAUACCCCUGUAGUCCCUGUCUCUUAUACAC
rnacentral:rRNA from 1 species